AACACACUUCGGGAGGUCCAGGAAUGGCAAAGCCGUGCCUGUGCCAGGGAGCUGAACACUCAGAUCGUGUGAAGGGGCUGAGGCAGAAGGGGCAGACGGUGUGAGAGGGCGUCUCAUUCCCUCCUGGAGGAGCGUCUCUUGGGCUGUUUUUCAGUUAAGAAGUGGAUUUAUUUAGAGAGAAACACACUCCGCAGACCAGAGUGUGGGCCAUCUCAGAAGAGAAUUCUUCAUAAUUGGCAGCAUUAUGAUGGCUUCUUCCUAGUUUCUUCUGUGCAUGUCUCAAGGGUUUCCACAUCCGCAGACGGAAGAGCUUAAUCCUCCAUCAGUAUCCUCCGACGGCGCAUUCAGUUGAGGGCAGUGUCUUAUAUUCCGACGUCCGUUCACCCUCAUGCUUCACACAUACUCUACCACUGAUGGUUUCUUAGACUCUGGCUUUUGUCAGGCCCUUGAUAUCCACCAGUUACCCUUUGGUAAGAGAUUAAGCCAUUCCACUACUCUCCCAGAGGCAUUUGCAUUUAGAACUACAGGUAUAAUAGAAAUAAUGGAAGACGUUGCAUUCCUGAGGGAAGGCGAUCCUGGAAUGAAUUAUUCAUUUGCUCAUUCUAGAACAUCCCUGUCCAGUAGAUCUUUCUGCACCGAAGGAAAUGUUCUUCUGUGCUCUACAAUACGAUAGCUGCUAGCCAUGUGUGGCUAGUGUAACUGAGGAGCUGUGUUUUUCAUUUUAAUUAAAGUUAAAUUUAAAUUGACAAGAGGAAAGCAGGCAUUAUUAGGUUGCAUCCACUGGAUUGGUGAGAGACCCCUGACAACCCACUUGCCUGCCCUACUAUCCGAGCGCCCCCCAAAGGUAACUUUAAAAACGGGUCUUUCCAAGGUCGUGGGAAAGGACUUGGUGUGCCGCCACCACUUCUGCCUUUGGUCUCUGUGCCUUCCGCAGAGCUUCCAGCAGCGAUGCGUUGGGACAGAGUGUCUGGAGGCUCACGACCUCUGUGGUUCGGAGGAACCACUGUGAGGCAGGCCCAGGGAAGAAUUUGCCAUUUUCAAUGGAAAACAAGUGGCAGUUACUAAUUAUGAUGACUUUGUACUUUGGAUCUUGAUUUGCUACACCUUCCUUUAUAAUAAGCAGUUACUUAAGAAAUUAGGAUGUUUUAGUUAAUCCACGAAACAGGUAUGAAGAGCAGCUUUUUUUUUUUUUUUUUUUUUUUUUUAAGCUGUGUCAGGCAGCAUGCGGGAUCUUAGUUCCCCAACCAGGGAUCGAACACAUGCCCCCUGCAUUGGGAGCACGGAGUCUUAACCACUGGACCACCAGGGAAGUCCCAAGAGCAGCAUUUUAAGAGGUGCAAUUUCUUUGAAAAGUGGAUCAAACUCAUGACCUUAACAUACUAACUAUGUUUGUAAAUAAACUCAUGACAUAAAUCCUUAGUGCUUCUCUGAAAUAUGGAACGUGAUAAUCGAGCAUGUGCUUGCAUUUGUAUUUGGGUAAUAUUCCAGUAUUAGUUUCUUGAUUAAAUAUGUGUGUGAUCUUGGGACUUCCCAGCAGUCCAGUGCAGGGGGUGCAGGUUCGAUCCCUGGUCAGGGAGCUAAGAUCGCACAUGCUUCGCAGACAAAAAACCAAAACAUAAAACAGAAGUAAUAUUGUAAUAAAUUCAAUAAAGACUUAAAAAAAAAUGGUCCACAUCAAAAAAAAUCUUAAAAAAAAAAUGUGCGUUAUCUUAAAAAAAGGAAAGAAAAUGGGUCUUUGAAAUCAGAUGGGCUUUCUUUUCCCACCCCUCUAGCCUUGACCCCUCAGUGUGUCUCCCCAAGAAAGCAGAUGUCUGUGGCUGUCCCCCACAGGCCUCUCCUAGCCCUAGUUUUUCUCGCUCUUUGCCAUAGGACACUGCCCAUGCCUUUCCUUCUGUCCUGCCGCCCCCUCUCUCUAUUCCUGCUCGUGCCACGGUAAACCCUAACUUCCUCCAAGAAGACUUCCCCAACUCCUGUCCCUUCCAAAUGAGGCCAGUUUUAGGGCUCUGAACAGAUUCCAUUUGGCUUCCCGGUUGAGGGUGGAGGUGGCAGGGAUGGAUCUUAGGAAGAUGUAGCUGCAGGAUGGAUGUGCAUUAGGUCACUGCAUUUCAAACUUCCAGUGAAAAAUGUAUGUCCCAACUACCGCACACGCCUACAUACAGAUAUAUAAAACUGAAACAAAAAUUUUGUAAAAAUAACACUCACUAUGUGUGAUGCAUUUGGA